AGUCACUGACAUUAGAUACCCCGGUAGUCCCAGCCCUAAACGAUGCGCGUUAGGUGUAUCGGUGACCACGAGUCACCGAGGUGCCGAAGGGAAACCGUGAAACGUGCCGCCUGGGAAGUACGGUCGCAAGGCUGAAACUUAAAGGAAUUGGCGGGGGAGCACAACAACGGGUGGAGCUUGCGGUUUAAUUGGAUUCAACGCCGGAAAUCUUACCGGGACCGACAGCAACAUGAAGGCCAAGCUGAAGACUUUGCCGGAUUAGCUG
rnacentral:rRNA from 1 species